GCCACUGUGGUGCAGUGGUUUGGGUGUUUGACUGCGACUCAAGAUCAGGGUUCAAUUCUCAGAUUGGCC